rnacentral:rRNA from 1 species
AGAACGAACGCUGGCGGCAGGCUUAACACAUGCAAGUCGAACGCGUGUAGCAAUACACGAGUGGCGCACGGGUGAGUAACGCGUGGAUAUCUGCCUUUUGGUUCGGAAUAACCCCGGGAAACUGGGGCUAAUACCGGAUGGUUCCUACGGGAUAAAGAUUUAUCGCCAAAAGAUGAGUCCGCGUACGAUUAGCUAGUUGGUGAGGUAAUGGCUCACCAAGGCGACGAUCGUUAGCUGGUCUGAGAGGACGAUCAGCCACACUGGGACUGAGACACGGCCCAGACUCCUACGGGAGGCAGCAGUGGGGAAUAUUGGACAAUGGGGGCAACCCUGAUCCAGCCAUGCCGCGUGAGUGAUGAAGGCCUUCGGGUUGUAAAGCUCUUUUGGCGGGGACGAUGAUGACGGUACCCGCAGAAUAAGCCCCGGCUAACGUUCGUGCCAGCAGCCGC